rnacentral:snRNA from 1 species
AUACUUACCUGGCAGGGGAGAUACCAUGAUCACAGAAGUGGUUUUCCCAGGGCAGGGCUUAUCCAUUGCACUCCGGAUGUGCUGACCCCUGUGAUUUCCCCAAAUGUGGGAAACUCGGCUGCAUAAUUUGUGGUAGUGGGGGACUGCGUUCGCACUCUCCCCUG